UACGUAGGUGGCAAGCGUUGUCCGGAAUUAUUGGGCGUAAAGCGCGCGCAGGCGGCUUCUUAAGUCUGAUGUGAAAUCUCGGGGCUCAACCCCGAGCGGCCAUUGGAAACUGGGAAGCUUGAGUGCAGAAGAGGAGAGUGGAAUUCCACGUGUAGCGGUGAAAUGCGUAGAUAUGUGGAGGAACACCAGUGGCGAAGGCGACUCUCUGGACGACACCUGACACUGAGGCACGAAAGCUAGGGGAGCAAACAGG
rnacentral:rRNA from 1 species